AUGCACAGUCUGGAAAUCUGAACUGAUCACGCGUGUCCAUGGAGUCGAAGCGGACUUGAUAAAUUUAAAAUAAAAUUGAUCCAACCAUUUGGCGCGCUGCCCUGACCCAGUUCGAGUUCUGCUCCCGUCUCCAGUGAACAGAACAAGACGACGAACACCAAGAAUCGCCUCAGGGAAUCGCCGCCCUCUGCGCCGGGAAAUCGUCGCGAACAUUGGAGAACUGAUUAAUUCUGUAAUUAUUUACAUACUUGAUUACGUAACUUACGAAUUUCCAUAAUAAGAUGUACACUGAGAAUAAGAAAGUUGUAUCAGUUAUUGGGAUUAUUUUAAUCAACGUGAUUUCUUGGUAGUAAUGAAUAACAGCAAACGCAUUGAUAAAAGGAAAAUGGGUAUCACGCUGGUAAAGAAAGAUGACACGUAAAAGCAAGCCGAGGUAUUAAGUAAUCGGUCAAUAAAAAUGAGGUGUUUUUAAGAAGAUAGCUAAUUCUAGGUAUUAUCUUGAUAUUUACCAGACUUAUACUUCUUAAAUGUACAAUUAUUUUAUUACUUUGUGCAUUCUAAUUUGUUCGUAAUUCAAAUAGUCAAGUAUCUUAAACAGAACUAAUGGUAGAAUAUUGGAUGUUUGAAGAAGGUAUAAAAUCUAAUAGAAACUUGGUUUAAUUUUUUAUCUGGCUUCCACCUCUAUCUUUUCAUCUUUCAUUGGAUUUUAUUUAUUCGAUUACAUUGUAUAUAUACUAUAUACGUCGAACUAUACGUCUAGUUCGCGAAGCAAUUUAUUGUCUUUUUUAUUACAUAAUUUUAUUUAACUAAACAUCUGUUCAAAAUUUCACAAAAUGUCUCGAUUCUCUUUAAACAUAAGUAUUAUUAAAUAGUAAUAUAUUAAUUCUUAUUAACACACGUUACUUCUUUUACGUACCUUGUCUUAUUACGUAAUCAACAUAUAAAUCAUUCGUUAGACAUAUUAUCUGUUACAUUAACUAUAAUAAAUGACGAAUGUGUCGAAAGUAUGAUAUUUUGUAUAUUUUAUGAAUAACAUGACAGAAAGUGGAUAGGUAAAAUCAGCAUGUCGUCCGAAUAACGAUUAAUAAUUCUUAGGACAAUGAGUGACACAUUUUCAUGAAAUACGAGAUCUUGGCACCGUCCCGUUUCUUUUAAGGAAUGAAAUUGAGAGUUUGCGAGCAAGAACGGACCUUGCUGAAUUGUUCAAAAUUUUUAAAUUACCGAGAUCAGCAAGGACAUAUGUAAGAGAGAAAAGAUCGUUCUCGUAUCUAAGAUCCUUCCUCCAGGCUUCAGUAGGUCGGCGAUUAUAAAUGUUCGCGUCCUGGUUUCUCUCGAAACAACAAAAUAAUUACAGACAAUUAAUCUGCAACGCGACAUUCGCUGACAAUUGUAAAAGGAACGUUGUCAUGGUAAUCGAAAAAUUCAUUAGAUAAUGAUGGGCAAAAUUCUUGUUCUCGUUCAGAUUUUUCAUUCUAUAUUCUGUAUUCGUUAUUUAUUUGUUAAGUAAUUAUUCUAUAAACGAUAUAUUUUAGAAUUAAACAUUACUUUCAAGAUUUUUUUAUUUUAAUGACGUUCGAUGGCGCUCGAAGAGGGCGACAAUACGCGGAAUUGGAAAAAAUAAAAAGUUCGUAGUUAAUAAAUUCACAAUUUUCGAUACGAUCGAUAGACGAUCUAUAUUUUUGAAAUGUUCAAGAGGAUAGGAAAACUAAGAUUAAUGGAAAAACCAAACAGAGACUGCCUUAUUUAUUUUGAAGUUGGUAUUCUGUAUCAAAUAUGCACGUAAAGUUUCGUUGCUAUUUUUAAAUUGCUCUCUUAUGACAAAAAGAUAAAAAUAUGAUGUGUUUUCGUUUAUAAUCAAUUGCGUAAUUAAUAUCGAAUAACAGGUAACUGAGAUUUUAGCAAUUUUAUUUCGUACAUAGUUCCUAUUUGUUGUUUUCGUUUACAUUUUCAAGUGUACCGAUAUAUAUAUUAUAUUCCUGUAACGUGACUGUAUCUUACCAACAAUGAUAAUUUAUUUUUAGAGUAACAAGUAAUGAUAUUGUUACGUGAAGUUAUUUCAUAUAACAAUAUAUGACAUAAUACUUUAAGGCUAUUAUCAUUCAUGCCAUUCAUUCCCUAUAGUGGCCUUAGGCGAUAGAACGUUUGACGAAUAUCCCUGGGCGAAUAUUUCCAGGUACGAUUGAUCGAAACAGCCAGGAAAUAUCGUUUUACUUUCAUCUAUCAUUAUGUAUAAUGAGUAAUAACCAAGCUUCAGAGAUUAAUUAUCAAUUUCAAUACACGGAGUAUGUAAAAUUACAUCUAUUAAUUUUAUGAUCAUUUUUAGAUCGAUACAAAAUCUACUUAUUUUAAUGUAUCGUAUCCUAAUGAUGUAAACAUGUUUAUAUAUACGUGAUUGAACAUUUAUAAAUAUCAGAACAUAAAUAAUAAUUGUAUUUGUACAACGAAAGAACCAGCGUAUGCGUGUAGAGGGAAAUCUGACGAUGAAUAAGAACAUUGUACUAUUUUCACUGUAAUAUGCAUAUCUCGUCGUUAAAAAUAUUGUUCCCGCCGGGUCUCUGCAUCCUACUUAUGUUACUAGUCUUUUAAAAGGUUCUCUUUUGAAAUAUCCCCUCAGGGUUGAAUACACGAAUCGCGCAUUGGAUACUAAAUACAUCUGCUCAUACGGUGAAUUCGGAUGAGAUUGAUCGUAGAAUUCCAAUGUUCUAAUUGGAUGAUUAGGAAUUGCUGUACAAUUUAUUAAGUUUGAAAAUAAUAUCUCAGAAUAUCAUUAAUAACACGAUGGAAAAGCUGCAUGUAAUUUUGAUAGAAGAUCAUAGAGAACUUAUAGAAGCCAGCGUUAAAUCAAGACUUAGAAACAAUUAGUAGAUUACUUAAUUUUACAUAAAAAUUACAAGCAAUAGCAAACAAGAUGAAUAUUAGUUGAAAAUCUAAUAAAGAAUAUUAUCAUCGCUAAUAGAACGUGACAAACGGUUGUACAACGCGUAAUUAUACUUGUCUUGUAAUCUUACAAAAGAUAGCGAACGUGUAAUCAUUAUCGUGUAUAUGUAUAUGAGCUAACCAACAAGGAUCUGAAAGAAUGAGCGCUGCUUGAACAAUCUACACUCUGAAAGGUUCGGACCGACAACUUACGCAAUAUACGAAGCCAUACCUAAGAGGGUUAUAUAGUGUAGCUCUAAAUACUUUUACGUAAAUCUUAAUCCAAUUUCUUUUUUCGCGAUGGUAUUCACAUCCUCGGCCCGUUCCUUUUGCUUCUUGAAAAAACGAACGUUAGAUUAAAAGAAUUUGUUUUAAGAAUUACUUGCUUUAUAUUUUAUCGUAAUUGCAUAAUUAUUUUGUUGUUACAGAAAUUUAUCAUAGCAAUUAUGAUUCUAGAUUAUAAUAUAAUUAUGAGCUAUAGUAGGUAUAAAAGAAAAGUUACAUGAUUGCUGCGAUUACAUAUGUAUGUAUUCAUAACUGACUCGAAGAAUUAUUAAUUAGAUUCCGGUGAUUCAUCGACAUCAAUUUGACUAUUAUUAAAGAUACGUAUAAAUUGUAAUGAAAUAAAUUUAUUUUUGUAUUUUUUCAUUGUUAUAAAUGUAACCUUGAUACAUAUGAUUUUGGAUAGACAAUAAAUGUCUUAAUAAUACGCUGAAUCCUACUACGAUAAAUUAUUGAUACGAUAAUAUUUUCUGUGCAAUUAUCCCUUAAUUACAUUUUUCAUCAUUUUAAAAUCGAUCGUUUUACACCUUUGGUC